CCCGUCUGUAUUUGAUUUGAUCAGUUUGAUUUUGGUUGUUCGUUCGUGCGACUCGUUCGCUGCAUUUUGGUUUUUCUCGUUCCGUAAUCUGCCUCUCAUUGGUUCUCGUCGAUCUUCUACCGGUGUCGUGCUGUGAAAUCUACCGGCUCUGCCGAACAGUAAGACUUUCAUAUAGAUCUGUGUGUUUUAUUGGCUUCGGUGUCAUUUUGUUAGGUUUAUUAAGUUUCUAUUCAUUCUACAUGCUACUUCGAGGACAAACCUGACCACUCUACUCUCGUAUGAUAACUUUCAAAUCUUCCUCAGUAAUCGUUGGUUCUUGUGAAUGUUCCAAACUUCCGGCAUUGUGCCCUCUUUGUUAAAAGGUGAGAAAUCCCUACAGAUUUGUGUAUGCUUCUGGAUUUGGUGUCUUUCUAUGGGGUUUUAUUGCGGCGGUGUGACCAUUUUUUUUUUUUUUUUUAAAUUUUGACAUAAAGUGUUUAAAAUUUUAAAAGUCCUCUGUUUUUUAGGGGUUUAAGUGCAUACGGAAUGGAUAUUUUAGAAUGUGAACUGAAGAUGUGUAAUUUUAGAUGCAUUGAAAAUAAUUAGUUUUAUUUAUUUAUUUUAUUCUCUGGGUUCAUUCUGUGUGUUUACUCCGAUUUCUGGCGUAGUGCUUUCAACUGAACCUUCUUCGUCAAUCAAAUGGUGAGAAAUCACGAGAAAUCUCUGUGUUUUUUGCCUUUUUGGGUUUGGUGUGAUUCUCUCGAGUUUUGUUUUGGUUCCAUGUGCAUACUUUUUCGAUUUUUUUUGACGUAAAGGGUUUAAAAUCCUAGAAGUUGUUUGUUUUUUUAGGGGUUUAAGCUUACAUGUAAUGGAGUUUUCAGAUUUUAAACCGAAAAUAUGUAAUUUGGAGAUAUCGAAAAUAAUUAGGUGUAUUUUUUCCCUCCCCUUGGGUUCAUUUUGGGUGUUUUUUGAUUUCCUGAUUUCUCCUUUUUAAAAUUCCGAUAUCUGUCUUAAAUAUUUUGUUUCUGUUUAUUGGGUGAAUUGUCCUUUUCUUGUUUUCAAUACAUUGUGCUUUGAUCUAGAUUUAUAAAGGAUAUUGGGGGUAAAUUUUGUAAAUUAUCUGAAUUGCUAUUUCAAUAUUUGGUCCAUUCUUACAACUUCAAUCUCAUGCUCGUUCAUUGAUAUUGUGCAAGGUCUGACUGAUAGUCAUCUCUUGGGAUUUCUGUCUUUUUCAUUUUCUGUUGGCAGCAGAUAUGAGUACUUGUACUUUAGGGUUUAAUAUUCUGUUAAUGUAAUUAUAUGUUGUGUUACGUUGGUGUUCUUUUGUUGCAGAGAUAUGUAUAAUUUUAUUGAAUAUAGCUUCUUUGUGUUCUCUUGUUCUUUGGGUUAUCUACCCUUCUAUUACCUUAAAUAUCGUGUGUGUAUUUUUAUAUCCAUUGUUAUCAAAAGAAUUGUUAUGUAAUUUGUCUACUUGUUUGGCUGCCAAGUGAAAUUAUUGAAAAGAUUNUCACUUUUA
rnacentral:lncRNA from 1 species